rnacentral:rRNA from 1 species
AGCGAACGCUGGCGGCGUGCUUAACACAUGCAAGUCGAACGCUCGUAGCAAUACGAGAGUGGCGGACGGGUGAGUAACGCGUGGGAAUCUAUCUUACGGCGGGGAAUAACCUCGGGAAACUGAGGCUAAUACCGCAUACGCCCUUCGGGGGAAAGGCUUCGGCCACCGUUUGAGGAGCCCGCGUCCGAUUAGCUAGUUGGUGAGGUAACGGCUCACCAAGGCGACGAUCGGUAGCUGGUCUGAGAGGAUGAUCAGCCACACUGGGACUGAGACACGGCCCAGACUCCUACGGGAGGCAGCAGUGGGGAAUAUUGGACAAUGGGGGAAACCUUGAUCCAGCGACGCCGCGUGGGUGAUGAAGGCCUUCGGGUUGUAAAGCCCUUUCGUCCACGAUGAUGAUGACAGUAGUGGAAGAAGAAGCUCCGGCUAACUUCGUGCCAGCAGCCGCGGUAAAAC